GAGUUUGAUCCUGGCUCAGAACGAACGCUGGCGGCGUGCUUAACACAUGCAAGUCAGGGAGAAAGUCUCUUCGGGGAUGAUUAAACCGGCGCACGGGUGAGUAACACGUGAGUGACCUGCCUUUUAGACUGGAACAACUUACCGAAAGGUGAGCUAAUGCCGGAUGAGUUAUAUAAGUGCAUGUUUAUAUAGGAAAAGUUGGGGAGACCUGACGCUGAAAGAUGGACUCGCGUCCCAUUAGCUAGUUGGUAGGGUAAUGGCCUACCAAGGCGACGAUGGGUAGCCGGCCUGAGAGGGUGGCCGGCCACACUGGGACUGAGACACGGCCCAGACUCCUACGGGAGGCAGCAGUGGGGAAUUUUGCGCAAUGCUCGUAAGAGUGACGCAGCGACGCCGCGUGAAUGACGAAGGCCUUCGGGUCGUAAAGUUCUUUCGACAGGGAAGAAAAUGCCUAUAAGUAACUGUGUAUGUAUUGACGGUACCUGUAUAAGCAGCCCCGGCUAACUCCGUGCCAGCAGCCGCGGUAAUACGGAGGGGGCGAGCGUUGUUCGGAGUGACUGGGCGUAAAGAGCACGUAGGCGGUGUUGUAAGUCAUUAGUCAAAGACUAGAGCUCAACUUUAGUAAGGCUAGUGAUACUAUAAUACUAGAGUAUCAGAGAGGAUUGCAGAAUUCCUGGUGUAGCGGUGAAAUGCGUAGAUAUCAGGAGGAAUACCGUUAGCGAAGGCGGCAAUCUGGCU
rnacentral:rRNA from 1 species